GAAACCCAGUGCAAUUCGUUGCACUAUUGCAUGGUGAAUACAUAGCCAUGCAAGGCGAACCGGGGGAACUGAAACAUCUAAGUACCCCGAGGAAAAGAAAUCAACCGAGAUUCCCCCAGUAGCGGCGAGCGAACGGGGAGGAGCCCAGAACCUGAAUCAGCGUAUGUGUUAGUGGAAGCGUCUGGAAAGUCGCACGGUACAGGGUGAUAGUCCCGUACACAAAAAUGCAUAUGUUGUGAGUUCGAUGAGUAGGGCGGGACACGUGACAUCCUGUCUGAAUAUGGGGGGACCAUCCUCCAAGGCUAAAUACUCCUGACUGACCGAUAGUGAACCAGUACCGUGAGGGAAAGGCGAAAAGAACCCCGGCGAGGGGAGUGAAAUAGAACCUGAAACCGUGUACGUACAAGCAGUGGGAGCACCUUCGUGGUGUGACUGCGUACCUUUUGUAUAAUGGGUCAGCGACUUAUAUUUUGUAGCAAGGUUAACCGAAUAGGGGAGCCGUAGGGAAACCGAGUCUUAACUGGGCGAAUAGUUGCAAGGUAUAGACCCGAAACCCGGUGAUCUAGCCAUGGGCAGGUUGAAGGUUGGGUAACACUAACUGGAGGACCGAACCGACUAAUGUUGAAAAAUUAGCGGAUGACUUGUGGCUGGGGGUGAAAGGCCAAUCAAACCGGGAGAUAGCUGGUUCUCCCCGAAAGCUAUUUAGGUAGCGCCUCGUGAACUCAUCUUCGGGGGUAGAGCACUGUUUCGGCUAGGGGGUCAUCCCGACUUACCAAACCGAUGCAAACUCCGAAUACCGAAGAAUGUUAUCACGGGAGACACACGGCGGGUGCUAACGUCCGUCGUGAAGAGGGAAACAACCCAGACCGCCAGCUAAGGUCCCAAAGUCAUGGUUAAGUGGGAAACGAUGUGGGAAGGCAUAGACAGCCAGGAUGUUGGCUUAGAAGCAGCCAUCAUUUAAAGAAAGCGUAAUAGCUCACUGGUCGAGUCGGCCUGCGCGGAAGAUGUAACGGGGCUAAACCAUGCACCGAAGCUGCGGCAGCGACGCUUAGGCGUUGUUGGGUAGGGGAGCGUUCUGUAAGCCGUUGAAGGUGACCUGUGAGGGUUGCUGGAGGUAUCAGAAGUGCGAAUGCUGACAUAAGUAACGAUAAUGCGGGUGAAAAACCCGCACGCCGGAAGACCAAGGGUUCCUGUCCAACGUUAAUCGGGGCAGGGUGAGUCGACCCCUAAGGCGAGGCUGAAAAGCGUAGUCGAUGGGAAACAGGUUAAUAUUCCUGUACUUGGUGUUACUGCGAAGGGGGGACGGAGAAGGCUAGGCUAGCCGGGCGACGGUUGUCCCGGUUUAAGCAUGUAGGCGGAGUGACUUGGUAAAUCCGGUUGCUUAUCAACGCUGAGGUG
rnacentral:rRNA from 1 species